rnacentral:rRNA from 1 species
UACGUAGGGCGCAAGCGUUGUCCGGAAUUAUUGGGCGUAAAGGGUGCGUAGGCGGCUUUUUAAGUCUGGUGUGAAAUCUCCCGGCUCAACUGGGAGGGUGCGCCGGAUACUGAGGGGCUAGAGUGUGGGAGAGGAAAGUGGAAUUCCUGGUGUAGCGGUGAAAUGCGUAGAUAUCAGGAGGAACACCGGUGGCGAAGGCAGUGGUCUGGGCCGAUACUGACGCUGAGGAGCGAAAGCGUGGGGAGCGAACAGG